rnacentral:rRNA from 1 species
UACAGAGGUCUCAAGCGUUGUUCGGAUUCAUUGGGCGUAAAGGGUGCGUAGGCGGCGCGGUAAGUCGGGUGUGAAAUCUCGGAGCUUAACUCCGAAACUGCAUUCGAUACUGCCGUGCUUGAGGACUGGAGAGGAGACUGGAAUUUACGGUGUAGCGGUGAAUGCGUAGAUAUCGUAAGGAAGACCAGUGGCGAAGGCGGUCUCUGGACAGUUCCUGACGCUGAGGCACGAAGGUCAGGGAGCAAACGGG